GCCGAAGGUGGGGCUAAUGACUGGGGUGAAGUCGUAACAAGGUAGCCGUACCGGAAGGUGCGGCUGGAUCACCUCCUAACAGGGAGACAACAAAAUGUUUAAUAUUAUUAUUUUGUCACCUUAGGUCGAUCGGUAUCUCACGUUCUUAAUUUGUUAAGAAUUUCAUUUCCUAAGUUUUUCUAGGUCACACCCAUUAUUUUUCCUGGGCCAUUAGCUCAGGUGGUUAGAGCGCACCCCUGAUAAGGGUGAGGUCCCUGGUUCAAGUCCAGGAUGGCCCAUAUCUCUAUGUUGGGGGUAUAGCUCAGUUGGUAGAGCGCCUGCUUUGCAAGCAGGAUGUCAGCGGUUCGAGUCCGCUUACCUCCACUGAUUACCACCUCUUCCAUAACUGGUAUAAAGGAAAUGUUUUGAGUUGUGAUUAUUAUUCUGAACGAAUCUAGCUUCCUAAUGAAAUCAUUAAGAUGCUGGACUCAUUGAAUUAAUUUCAUUGUUUUCAGAGAACCUUGACAACUGCAUAGAUUUUUUUAAAGACAAUAAGCAUCUUUAAUGAUGCAGAUUUAUUAUUUGUGCGAAUGCAUUAAUAACAAUUCUAUUAAGCUGAUGCUUCAAUUUUUGAAGUUAUUGGUCAAGCUACAAAGGGCUCACGGAGGAUACCUAGGCACACAGA
rnacentral:misc_RNA from 1 species